rnacentral:rRNA from 1 species
UGAGCAAUCUGCCCUUCUCAUCGGAAUAAGCGUUGGAAACGACGUCUAAUGCCGAAUACGACCUCCUUUCGCACGAUCGGAGGUGGAAAGCUCCGGCGGAGAAGGAUGAGCUCGCGGCCUAUCAGCUAGUUGGUGUGGGUAACGGCCCACCAAGGCGACGACGGGUAGCCGGCCUGAGAGGGCGACCGGCCACACUGGGACUGAGACACGGCCCAGACUCCUACGGGAGGCAGCAGG